rnacentral:rRNA from 1 species
UACGGGGGGGGCAAGCGUUGUUCGGAAUUACUGGGCGUAAAGGGCUCGUAGGCGGCCAACUAAGUCAGACGUGAAAACCCUCGGCUUAACCGGGGAACUGCAUCUGAUACUGGAUGGCUUGAGUUCGGGAGAGGGAUGCGGAAUUCCAGGUGUAGCGGUGAAAUGCGUAGAUAUCUGGAGGAACACCGGUGGCGAAGGCGGCAUCCUGGACCGACACUGACGCUGAGGAGCGAAAGCCAGGGGAGCAAACGGG